rnacentral:rRNA from 1 species
GAGGUCCAGCCUGCCCAGUGACCACAAGUUCAACGGCCGCGGUACCCUGACCGUGCAAAGGUAGCGCAAUCACUUGUCUUUUAAAUAAAGACCUGUAUGAAUGGCCAAACGAGGGCUUAACUGUCUCCCCUUUCAAGUCAGUGAAAUUGAUCUGCCCGUGCAGAAGCGGACAUAAUAAUACAAGACGAGAAGACCCUAUGGAGCUUAAGGCAUAAAACUCAACCACGCCAAAAACUCCGCAAAAGUUAACAAGCCCAGUGAUAAAUGAGACCAUGCCUUCGGUUGGGGCGACCAUGGAGGAAAAUAAAGCCUCCAGGAGGAAUGGGGUUAAACCCUUAAACCAAGAGACACAUCUCUAAGCUUCAGAACAUCUGACCAUAAAUGAUCCGGCCAACCAAGACCGAUCAACGAACCAAGUUACCCUAGGGAUAACAGCGCAAUCCUCUCUGAGAGUUCGUAUCGACGAGGGGGUUUACGACCUCGAUGUUGGAUCAGGACAUCCUAAUGGUGCAGCAGCUAUUAAGGG